rnacentral:rRNA from 1 species
UCGACGAUGAAUCUUCUAGCUUGCUAGAAGUGGAUUAGUGGCGCACGGGUGAGUAAUGCAUAGGUUAUGUGCCCUUUAGUCUGGGAUAGCCACUGGAAACGGUGAUUAAUACUGGAUACUCCCUACGGGGGAAAGUUUUUCGCUAAAGGAUCAGCCUAUGUCCUAUCAGCUUGUUGGUGAGGUAAUGGCUCACCAAGGCUAUGACGGGUAUCCGGCCUGAGAGGGUGAUCGGACACACUGGAACUGAGACACGGUCCAGACUCCUACGGGAGGCAGCAGUAGGGAAUAUUGCUCAAUGGGGGAAACCCUGAAGCAGCAACGCCGCGUGGAGGAUGAAGGUUUUAGGAUUGUAAACUCCUUUUGUUAGAGAAGAUUAUGACGGUAUCUAACGAAUAAGCACCGGCUAACUCCGUGCCAGCAGCCGCGGUAAUACGGAGGGUGCAAGCGUUACUCGGAAUCACUGGGCGUAAAGAGUGCGUAGGCGGGGUAAUAAGUCAGAUGUGAAAUCCUGUAGCUUAACUACAGAACUGCAUUUGAAACUGUUACUCUGGAGUGUGGGAGAGGUAGGUGGAAUUCUUGGUGUAGGGGUAAAAUCCGUAGAGAUCAAGAGGAAUACUCAUUGCGAAGGCGACCUGCUGGAACAUUACUGACGCUGAUGCACGAAAGCGUGGGGAGCAAACAGGAUUAGAUACCCUGGUAGUCCACGCCCUAAACGAUGGAUGCUAGUUGUUGCCUUGCUUGUCAGGGCAGUAAUGCAGCUAACGCAUUAAGCAUCCCGCCUGGGGAGUACGGUCGCAAGAUUAAAACUCAAAGGAAUAGACGGGGACCCGCACAAGUGGUGG